rnacentral:lncRNA from 1 species
CUGUAAGUAUUUAUUUCAAAAAUACGGCCGAGUCUUUGACACCUAUAUAUAUGGACCUGUGGCAUUUUACGUCAAAUUUGGUCAAGUAUUUAUUUUUUUAAAGAAUAAACAAAAUUUUUUCGUGACCUCUCUAACUUAAAGAAAGCUACCUUAAUGGAGCGAGAUAGAUAUUUUUUUAGCUAUUGCGUAAAGAGGUUAGACAUAUUUUACAUGACAACAUCAAUUAUGUCAGUUGUGACCAAAUUAUCUAUUGUUUUUAGUGACCAAAAAUGGCUAUUGUUGUGGUUCCGGUGUAACGGUAUUCGAAAUAUUACGGAAAUAAUAACCAAUAAGCUUCUGAAUCGCAAAAUAAAUUAAAUAUUGUACAAUGGUGAAGUGCGCAGUUGUUGCCUGCACCAACAAAACCCAAACAAAACUAGCGGGAAAUUCAUUUCACAAAUUUCCAAAAAAUCAUGA